GAUAAAGACGACAGACAGAGGAGCCCUGUCCCCUAGCAACAGAUGACAUACAUGUUUGCUGGCAGCAACAUACCCCUCACCACCUGCCCUCCAGUGAACUAGAGGUAUUUACCAGAGCCUGCGAGGGAGAGUGUGAAGAAAGCUCGUCUUGUUAGCAUUCCAGCUGCUUUUGAGUGGACGACUGUUACAGGGAGAGUACCGGCGCUGGAAGCAUCUAGUGGCAUCUGAACUACUGAAAUCUCCACCAUGGAAAGAGAUACUUGUGAUUUACUUUCUCGGAGCAAAAGUGCCUCCGAGGAAACAUUGCAUUCUAGUAAUGAAGAAGAGGACCCCUUCCGUGGGAUGGAACCCUAUCUUGUGCGAAGACUUUCAUCCCGCAGUAUCCAGCUCCCUCCUCUUGCCUUCAGACAGUUGGAACAAACUGACUUGAGAAGUGAAUCAGAGAACAUCCCAAGGCCAACCAGCCUCCCACUGAAAAUCCUGCCUCUGAUUGCUAUCACGU